UACGUAGGGGGCAAGCGUUGUCCGGAAUUAUUGGGCGUAAAGCGCGCGCAGGCGGUUCUUUAAGUCUGGUGUAUAAGUGCGGGGCUCAACCCCGUGAGGCACUGGAAACUGGGGAACUUGAGUGCAGAAGAGGAGAGCGGAAUUCCACGUGUAGCGGUGAAAUGCGUAGAGAUGUGGAGGAACACCAGUGGCGAAGGCGGCUCACUGGACCGGUACUGACGCUGAUGCGCGAAAGCGUGGGGAGCAAACGGG
rnacentral:rRNA from 1 species